rnacentral:rRNA from 1 species
CUUGAACGCUGGCGGCAGGCCUAACACAUGCAAGUCGAACGAGUGGCGGACGGGUGAGUAAUGUCUGGGAAACUGCCCGAUGGAGGGGGAUAGCUACUGGAAAAGGUAGCUAAUACAGCAUACCAUCGGAUGUGCCCAGAUGGGAUGAGCGCGUGGGUGGGGUAACGGCUCACCUAGGCGACGAUCCCUAGCUGGUCUGAGAGGAUGACCAGCCACACUGGAACUGAGACACGGUCCAGCCUCCUACGGGGGGCAGCAGUGGGGAAUAUUGCACAAUGGGCGCAAGCCUGAUGCAGCCACGCCGCGUGUAUGAAGAAGGCCUUCGGGUUGUAAAGUACGUUCAGCGGGGAGGCGUUACCCGAAGAAGAAGCACCGGCUAACUCCGUGCCAGCAGCCGCGGUAAUAC